GGAAGAAGGGCAUUGGAGGAACGAGUGUCCGCAAAGAGAGCAGUAUGAGAGAGACUUACCCAGGGCAGGUUACGGAAACUUUAGAGGCAGAGCGAGAGGUAGAGGAGGCCCCGGAGGGAGUAAUGGUAAUAGAGGGAGUAAUGGGAACAGAGGAAGUGUAAGGGAAGAUAGGUACUAUCCAGCAGCGCAAAGGUCCCGCGAUAGAGAAGGUAGGGACUUUGUGG